rnacentral:rRNA from 1 species
UACGUAGGGUGCGAGCGUUGUCCGGAAUUAUUGGGCGUAAAGAGCUCGUAGGCGGUGUGUCACGUCGUUCGUGAAAACCUGCAGCUUAACUGUGGGCUUGCGGUCGAUACGGGCAUCACUGGAGUUCGGCAGGGGAGACUGGAAUUCCUGGUGUAGCGGUGAAAUGCGCAGAUAUCAGGAGGAACACCGGUGGCGAAGGCGGGGUC